CCCUUAGAUGUUCUGGGCCGCACGCGCGCUACACUGACGAAUGCAACGAGCUUAUAACCUUGGCCGAAAGGUCUGGGUAAUCUCCAAAUUUCGUCGUGAUGGGGAUAGAUUAUUGCAAUUAUUAAUCUUCAACGAGGAAUGCCUAGUAAGCGCAAGUCAUCAGCUUGCGUUGAUUACGUCCCUGCCCUUUGUACACACCGGCCGUCGCUCCUACCGAUUGAAUGGUCCGGUGAAGCGUUCGGACCGUGGCCUUUGGACGGUUCGCCGUCUGUUGGCUGCGGGAAGUUCGUUAAACCUUAUCAUUUAGAGGAAGGAGAAGUCGUAACA
rnacentral:rRNA from 1 species